rnacentral:ncRNA from 22 species
UUAAUACCACACCUUAAUGGUGUGGUUGGGAAGGAGGUGAAAGUCCUCCGCAGCCCCCGCUGCUGUGAUGCUGACAACUCCGCUGAUGCCACUGGUCGGAAAGACUGGGAAGGUUGCGGGGAAGGGUGACGCUAAGCCAGAAGACCGACCUGACAGGCACGAGACAUU